rnacentral:rRNA from 1 species
AGUGAACGCUGGCGGUAGGCCUAACACAUGCAAGUCGAACGGCAGCACAGUAAGAGCUUGCUCUUACGGGUGGCGAGUGGCGGACGGGUGAGGAAUACAUCGGAAUCUACUUUUUCGUGGGGGAUAACGUAGGGAAACUUACGCUAAUACCGCAUACGACCUACGGGUGAAAGCAGGGGAUCUUCGGACCUUGCGCGAUUGAAUGAGCCGAUGUCGGAUUAGCUAGUUGGCGGGGUAAAGGCCCACCAAGGCGACGAUCCGUAGCUGGUCUGAGAGGAUGAUCAGCCACACUGGAACUGAGACACGGUCCAGACUCCUACGGGAGGCAGCAGUGGGGAAUAUUGGACAAUGGGCGCAAGCCUGAUCCAGCCAUACCGCGUGGGUGAAGAAGGCCUUCGGGUUGUAAAGCCCUUUUGUUGGGAAAGAAAAGCAGCAGGUUAAUACCCCGCUGUUCUGAAGGUACCCAAAGAAUAAGCACCGGCGAACUUCGU